GAUUUUAUUUUCUAUGCUAGUGGUUAUCAGACAAGGUAGCAUAUACCUCUAAUCCCAGCACUUAGGAUGCAGAGGCAGGGGGAUCUCUGUGAGUUCUGUGUAGGCAAUGUUGUUCCAUAUGGCAAAAUUCUAGGCUGGCCAAGGCUAUAAGUAAUACCGUUUCAAAAAAAAAAAAGCACUAGUGGAUAUAUUAUUUUACGGCUUAAAUGAUCAAGAUUAAACAAAAAUACAAUAUGGAGGAGAUUGUAAAAUGUACUAAUACUAAAUCAAUGUAUUUAGACAAUUUAUUUCCGGGAGGUUUCUGGACACUUGCAAGCUUGGGCUGUCUAUCUUUCUGUCUACACACAGGUCCUGUGCUUCAUCAGCGCUGUUACUUCCGCUCACAUCACCCUUUUCUGGCUAAUUUCUUUCCCAUGUCUAGUACCCUGACUACUCCUUGUGGAGUGGUAAAGAUAAGCUAAAAUCUUUUCAAAUGGCCUGUAAAUAGAUGAAUUAUUGCUAUUUCACAUUAAGAGAAAAAAAGGCAACAUGAUUUGGUUUGUCAUGUAAGCAAAAAUGUUCUUUUCACUUUCAACUUUGAAACAAACAAUCAUUGGCUGAAUCCACUUUCCUGUCAGGUGCAACUUCCACAUUACUCACUGUUGUCACACAGGAACAACAAAACACAGUCCAGUGAAAUAAUUUCUUUGACAGUUGGGGGGUGUCACAUACAAGAAUUGAUAUAUCAGCCAUUAUUUCUCUUUGUGCUUCUCAUCUUAGCAAUGAUGCGACUCAUGGAACUAUUGUUACAGCCUGUAUAGAGUAAAAAUGGUGGCAGUCAUCACUAUGUUAAUCAGCUGCAACAUCCCCAAAGAUAAGACAGUUCCAUAGCCACUCCGAUUGCUGCUCAGUUUGCAGAUUUCCAGGCUGAUAUUCUUUGGCCCUAGCACAGACAGACAUAGCAUGCAUUUUCUGGACCCAGUAUGCUAAGCCUCCUGCAGACUGCAUUCCUUGUGGAGGAGAAAAGCCCACGCUCUUGCUCAUUCUGAAGACUCAGGAUUUCUUCUCCCUCCCAGUGGUUAGCAGCCUGGCUCUACUCCAUUAACAAGCCUGAGACAAACUCUGAAAGGCCCUGAGUUCUCUUUUCUUGCUUAGCCCUCUCCUUUGCAUUAAAUAUUAUUUAAAUGUA